rnacentral:rRNA from 1 species
CAGCGCGCAAUUACCCACUCCCGGCACGGGGAGGUAGUGACGAAAAAUAACGAUACGGGACUCAUCCGAGGCCCCGUAAUCGGAAUGAGUACACUUUAAAUCCUUUAACGAGGAUCAAUUGGAGGGCAAGUCUGGUGCCAGCAGCCGCGGUAAUUCCAGCUCCAAUAGCGUAUAUUAAAGUUGUUGCGGUUAAAAAGCUCGUAGUCGAAUUUGUGUCUCAUGCCGCUGGUUCAUCGUUCGCGGUGUAAACUGGCGUGACAUGGGACGUCCUGCCGGUGGGCUUAGCUCUUAACGGGGCGGCCCUAUUAAUCCUGCCACGUUGCUCUUAAUUGAGUGUCUUGGUGGGCCGGCUUAUUUACUUUGAACAAAUUAAAGUGCUUAAAGCAGGCUAAAAAUAUGCCUGAAUAUAUGUGCAUGGAAUAAUGGAAUAGGACCUCGGUUCUAUUUUGUUGGUUUUCAGAACUCAGAGGUAAUGAUUAAUAGGAACGGAUGGGGACAUUCGUAUUGCGACGUUAGAGGUGAAAUUCUUGGAUCGUCGCAAGACGAACAUAAGCGAAAGCAUUUGUCAAAAACGUUUUCAUUGAUCAAGAACGAAAGUUAGAGGUUCGAAGGCGAUCAGAUACCGCCCUAGUUCUAACCAUAAACGAUGCCAGCCAGCGAUCCGCCGAAGUUCCUUAGAUGACUCGGCGGGCAGCUUCCGGGAAACCAAAGCUUUUGGGU